rfam:Picea glauca, whole genome shotgun sequence.
GUUGUCUCUUUGACAUCCGAUAAAAUUGGAACGAUACAAAGAAGAUUAGCAUGGCCCCUACGCAAGGAUGACACACACAAAUUGAGAAAUGGUCCAAAUUUUU